rnacentral:rRNA from 1 species
AUUGAACGCUGGCGGCAUGCCUUACACAUGCAAGUCGAACGGCAGCACGGGGGCAACCCUGGUGGCGAGUGGCGAACGGGUGAGUAAUACAUCGGAACGUGCCCAGUAGUGGGGGAUAGCCCGGCGAAAGCCGGAUUAAUACCGCAUACGACCUACGGGUGAAAGCGGGGGAUCGCAAGACCUCGUGCUACCGGAGCGGCCGAUGUCAGAUUAGGUUGUUGGUGGGGUAAAANCCUACCAAGCCGACGAUCUGUAGCUGGUCUGAGAGGACGACCAGCCACACUGGGACUGAGACACGGCCCAGACUCCUACGGGAGGCAGCAGUGGGGAAUUUUGGACAAUGGGCGCAAGCCUGAUCCAGCCAUGCCGCGUGCGGAAGAA